ACAGGUGGGUGCAGGUGGGUUCAUGUGGAUUUAUGUGGACAUAUACAGACAUGGAUUAUUGGUGCCCGUCUUCACCGCUUUGGAUCUAGUUGAGCCACGCACGCACAGCUGCACGCCUCCUUCCGUCUCCUGCCCGGUGGAGAACAGAGGUUCCCACGUCGGACCCGAACGGGUUGGACCCGGACGACCCCGGACCUCGGAUCGGAGUCUCCUACAUCUUCUCCAACGACGAUGACGAGCAGGAGGAUCAUCUGGACCAGCGCUUCUCAAAGGACGCCAGCCAGCUGGAGAGACACAAGCACGAGGAGAAGCGCUUCGACCCGCAGGACCAGCUGCAGUGCGCGGUGUAAUACGGGACGAGAUCGUGUACGAGACGGGCAACCGGAGCCGCCACGCACUCCGCGGAGACUCUCCUGAAACGGUGCAGAACCGGAGACCUGCUGGAGUUCGUGUCCACCGGGCAGUACCCCGCCACUGGGCCGAUGUACGUGGGGGACUUCCAGGUGGUCCACCUGCACCGGCCGAGAUCAAGAACACCUUCCUGACCGAUGUGAGUCAGGCAAACCGGCCGGAUAGUGAACGGACAUCUACCGGUACCGGGCGCUGCCGCCGGAGGUGAUCGUUGCGUAACGCGCUGGACCACGUCGGGUUCCGAGACCGGGAGCUCUACUGGAGGAACUCUGAGUGCUUCGCAGCCUGGUGCCGCUUCGGCAAACGGGAGUUUAAGAUCGGAGGAGAGAUCCGGAUCGGGAAGCAGCCGUACAGGUUGAAACUCCUGUUCUCAGAGAAGAAGAACCACGUCUGGAGUUUCCAGAGCCUGGAGGACUGAUCAUGGAGAAGAGGAGGAACGACCAGAUUGGAAAAAGAGGCUGUGAUGCAAGAGCUGCCAAUCACCUGAACGCAACACAUGAACUCAAAGAGGAGGCAUUUUUUGGACUGAUGGUGGAUGCUGUGGUCACCUGGUGCAGGUAGAGUCACCUGGUGCAGGUAGAGUCCACCUGGUGCAGGUAGAGUCACCUGGUGCAGGUAGAGGUCACCUGGUGCAGGUUGGAGCCCUCUGUGAUGCUCUGUGAUGUUGAGGUUCAUCCCGCCAGUCAACCACUGAGAGCUGAGCUGUGGGUUUGGGUGCCACACUGGAAAGUAAACAUCUUAUGAGGAAGUUACAGUUCAUCUUCUUCUUCCUCCUAAACGGGAGCAGAAGCCCUGACCUCUGGGGGGGUGGGGGGGAGACACUUGUGUCAUUACUCAGGUGGCAUUAGUAAAGCAGGUCAAAAAGGGUCCACACGUUGAUUUGCAUCUGAAACAAGUGAAAAUUGCUGUGACAAAUGUUCUCCCUCCUUCUGAGAAGAAAUGUGAUUUUACACCCUGAACCUGAAUGAAGUGACUUGUUCUGAUGGAGACGAGCUGCAGCUGCAGUCUCAUCAUUUGGGGAUGAAGUCAGAAUUUAAUUGUCCCGUAAUUAUCUUUCUAAUCCAAUGAAUCUUUGCACAGAGGAGCCAGAACCUCUCCUCCUCGGGACCUGACAAGAGAGGACUGAAAGCUCCCGUACAACUCAGGUGGUGGAGAUCGAUACAGACGAGAGACGACUCUGUUUGUUUUUAUUAUUGUGUGUCGACCUCGAGGAUCCCCCCCCCCCCCCUGUUGCUUUUAUAUCCCAUCAUCACCACAGCUUUACCUGCUCACUAGCUUCCACUGAUUCACCAGUUUACACAGUUUAUUUUUUGGAAAAAAAAAAAAGAUGUUUGUAUGAAAGAAUAUGGAAAUAAAUAUAUAUUUUGAACAGUAAAGUUUUUUUUUUUCUUUUUAGUGAAGGAUUUAACAUUUAAAUGAUUUAUGGCAAUGCUGGUACGAAAGCUGUCAAACCGUGAAUCUCAGGAAAAGCAGGAGAGGUUUUAUUCUAUAUUCUAACCAAAGCCUGCAUCCUAAACACCAGCAGCGUUGUUGUGCACUGAAAGCAGCCACACCAUCAUCACCCUCACCAUCCAGCUCACCACCCUGCAGGAGGCCACGGCUCUACUGUUUCAACCAGUCACAUCCCAGCUUUGUGUUGGUUGUUGUAUGGGGAGUGUUGGGUGCCCUGUUAAAGAGUGUUGGGUGCCCUGUUAAAGCAGUUAAUGCUGACAAUUGUUUUUUGCUCAUUUCCACGUUCAUACUUGUAUUUUGGGAACAUGUUUUAAAUCUUUAAUGUUCGAAAAACACAUUAUUUCUCUCAUGCUGUCCGUCUGAAUAUCCCUGUCUUCACUCUCUGUCUGAAACGCUCACGUUAUAGCUCCCGUCUCCUUAAGACCUCCUCCUGAAAACCCCCCAGUCUGCUCUGAUUGGCUAG